UGGGGAAUCUCGCGCAAUGGGCGAAAGCCUAACGCAGCGACGCCGCGUGAGUGAUGAAGGCCUUCGGGUUGUAAAGCUCUGUGGGGAGAGACGAAUAAGUGCAAGCUAAUACCUUGCAUGAUGACGGUAUCUCCUUAGCAAGCACCGGCUAACUCUGUGCCAGCAGCCGCGGUAAGACAGAGGGUGCAAACGUUGUUCGGAAUUACUGGGCGUAAAGCGAGUGUAGGCGGUUUCCUAAGUCAGGUGUGAAAGCCCCGGGCUCAACCCGGGAAGUGCACUUGAAACUGGGAUGCUAGAGUACUGGAGAGGUUGGUGGAAUUCUCGGUGUAGAGGUGAAAUUCGUAGAUAUCGAGAGGAACACCGGUGGCGAAGGCGGCCAACUGGACAGAUACUGACGCUGAGACUCGAAAGCGUGGGGAGCAAACA
rnacentral:rRNA from 1 species